rnacentral:rRNA from 5 species
GAAGCGGCAACAGCUCAAAUUUGAAAUCUGGCGCAAGCCCGAGUUGUAAUUUGUAGAGGAUGCUUCUGGGUAGCGACCGAUCUAAGUUCCUUGGAACAGGACGUCAUAGAGGGUGAGAAUCCCGUAUGUGACCGGCCCGCACCCUUUACGUAGCUCCUUCGACGAGUCGAGUUGUUUGGGAAUGCAGCUCUAAAUGGGAGGUAAAUUUCUUCUAAAGCUAAAUACCGGCCAGAGACCGAUAGCGCACAAGUAGAGUGAUCGAAAGAUGAAAAGUACUUUGGAAAGAGAGUUAAAAAGCACGUGAAAUUGUUGAAAGGGAAGCGCCUGCAACCAGACUUCGCGGCAGUGUUCCGCCGGUCUUCUGACCGGUUCAUUCUCUGUCGCGAGGCCAUCAUCGUCUGGGCCCGCCGGAUAAGACCUUAGGAAUGUAGCUCACCUUCGGGGGAGUGUUAUAGCCUAGGGUGAUGCGGCGAGGCUCGGGCGAGGUCCGCGCUUCGGCAAGGAUGAUGGCGUAAUGGUUGUCGGCGGCCCGUCUUGAAACACGGACCAAGGAGUCUAACAUCUAUGCGAGUGUUCGGGUGUCAAACCCCUACGCGUAAUGAAAGUGAACGGAGGUGGGAACCGCAAGGUGCACCAUCGACCGAUCCUGAUGUCCUCGGAUGGAUUUGAGUAAGAGCAUAGCUGUUGGGACCCGAAAGAUGGUGAACUAUGCCUGAAUAGGGUGAAGCCAGAGGAAACUCUGGUGGA